rnacentral:rRNA from 1 species
GCAGUCGAACGAGACUUUUUAUUUGAUGCUUGCAUCUUUUAAAAAGUUGAGUGGCGAACGGGUGAGUAACACGUGGGUAACCUGCCUUAAAGUGGGGGAUAACACUUGGAAACAGGUGCUAAUACCGCAUAACCAUCAAAACCGCCUGGUUUUGAUGUUAAAGAUGGUUCUGCUAUCGCUUUAAGAUGGACCCGCGGCGUAUUAGCUAGUUGGUGAGGUAACGGCUUACCAAGGCAAUGAUACGUAGCCGAACUGAGAGGUUGAUCGGCCACAUUGGGACUGAGACACGGCCCAAACUCCUACGGGAGGCAGCAGUAGGGAAUCUUCCACAAUGGACGAAAGUCUGAUGGAGCAACGCCGCGUGAGUGAAGAAGGUUUUCGGAUCGUAAAACUCUGUUGUCAGAGAAGAACGUGUGUGAGAGUAACUGUUCACGCAGUGACGGUAUCUGACCAGAAAGUCACGGCUAACUACGUGCCAGCAGCCGCGGUAAUACGUAGGUGGCAAGCGUUGUCCGGAUUUAUUGGGCGUAAAGGGAACGCAGGCGGUCUUUUAAGUCUGAUGUGAAAGCCUUCGGCUUAACCGAAGUCGGGCAUUGGAAACUGGGAGACUUGAGUGCAGAAGAGGAGAGUGGAACUCCAUGUGUAGCGGUGA